rnacentral:rRNA from 1 species
AGAGUUUGAUCCUGGCUCAGGAUGAACGCUAGCGGGAGGCUUAAUACAUGCAAGUCGAGGGGCAGCAGUACCGAAUUUCGGUUUGGUAGCUGGCGACCGGCGCACGGGUGAGUAACGCGUACGCAACUUACCUUCGGGAGGGGAACAGCCCUGGGAAACUGGGAUUAAUGCCCCAUGGUAUCAUUUAAAUGCAUAUUUGAAUGAUUAAAGCUUCGGCGCCCGAAGAUGGGCUCGCGGCUUAUCAGCUUGUUGGUGGGGUAAUGGCCUACCAAGGCAAUGACGAGUAGCUGGUCUGAGAGGAUGGUCAGCCACAUCGGGACUGAGACACUGCCCGGACUCCUACGGGAGGCUGCAGUCGAGAAUCUUUCGCAAUGGGGGAAACCCUGACGAAGCGACGCCGCGUGCAGGAUGAAGGCCUUCGGGUUGUAAACUGCUGUCACUCAAGAAAAAAGUGUAUGGGCUAAUAUCCCAUCCAUUUGAUUGUAUUGAGAGAGAAGCAACGCUAACU